ACGAGCCCUGGAACACAAGUUGGACAGUUUUUAAAGGUCCCUGCGCUCGCCAAGAGAAGGAAAUAGAUGCUCAGGAGUGAAAUACCGAAGAGAAUCGGAUCUGGCGCCUCCUAACGCAGCUGGCAAGCAGGCGAAGGUCCCGUGUAGAUUGAAGUAUCAGGGCAGCUUACAUACAGCCUGAGCGUCUGGCUUUGGGCAUUUGGGGAAGACUUUGCGAGAGUUCUACAUCUCCCUGAGCGAGGAUCUGAAGGAAACUUGGAAAUAACAGGAAAUGUCCUGGGGCCCCUGGAUGGCUCAGUCGGUUAAGCU